rnacentral:miRNA from 1 species
AGAGGUUUAUGAACAUGACGUG